GAUGAACGCUAGCUACAGGCUUAACACACGCAAGUCGAGGGGUAACGAGAGGAAAGCUUGCUUUCCUUGUCGACGACCGGCGCACGGGUGAGUAACGCGUAUCCAACCUGCCCCCAACUAGGGAAUAACCUUGCGAAAGUAAGACUAAUACCCUAUAAUUUCCUCAGAUGUCAUCUGACGAGGAAUAAAGAUUUAUCGGUUGUGGAUGGGGAUGCGUCUGAUUAGCUUGUUGGCGGGGUAACGGCCCACCAAGGCAACGAUCAGUAGGGGUUCUGAGAGGAAGGUCCCCCACAUUGGAACUGAGACACGGUCCAAACUCGUACGGGAGGCAGCAGUGAGGAAUAUUGGUCAAUGGACGGAAGCCUGAACCAGCCAAGUAGCGUGCAGGAUGACGGGCCUAUGGGUUGUAAACUGCUUUUAUACAGGAAUAAAGUUAGCCACGUGUGGUUAUUUGUAGGUACUGUAUGAAUAAGGACCGGCUAAGUCCGUGCCAGCCGCCGCCGUAA
rnacentral:rRNA from 1 species